rnacentral:rRNA from 1 species
AGUGAACGCUGGCGGUAGGCCUAACACAUGCAAGUCGAACGGCAGCACAGUAAGAGCUUGCUCUUACGGGUGGCGAGUGGCGGACGGGUGAGGAAUACAUCGGAAUCUACUUUUUCGUGGGGGAUAACGUAGGGAAACUUACGCUAAUACCGCAUACGACCUACGGGUGAAAGCAGGGGAUCUUCGGACCUUGCGCGAUUGAAUGAGCCGAUGUCGGAUUAGCUAGUUGGCGGGGUAAAGGCCCACCAAGGCGACGAUCCGUAGCUGGUCUGAGAGGAUGAUCAGCCACACUGGAACUGAGACACGGUCCAGACUCCUACGGGAGGCAGCAGUGGGGAAUAUUGGACAAUGGGCGCAAGCCUGAUCCAGCCAUACCGCGUGGGUGAAGAAGGCCUUCGGGUUGUAAAGCCCUUUUGGUGGGAAAGAAAAGCAGUAGGUUAAUACCCCGCUGUUCUGACGGUACCAAAAGAAUAAGCACCGGCUAACUUCGUG